CCCUUAGAUGUCCGGGGCUGCACGCGCGCUACACUGUAGAAAGCAGCGUGCUUUAAAACCUUUCCUGAAAAGGAUGGGUAACCCCAGCAAAAUUCUACGUGCUUGGGAUAGAGAUUUGCAAUUUUCUCUCUUGAACGAGGAAUUCCCAGUAAGUGCGAGUCAUCAGCUCGCGUUGAUUACGUCCCUGCCCUUUGUACACACCGCCCGUCGCUACUACCGAUUGGGAAAAUUUUAGAGAGUCCUGGACUUAUGAUUGUUCGGCUUCACGGCCUUACUUUCGUCGGGAAAGAAUUCGAUAAUAUUUUUCUAGAGGAAGUAAAAGUCGUAACA
rnacentral:rRNA from 1 species